rnacentral:rRNA from 1 species
GUGGGGAAUUUUGCGCAAUGGGCGAAAGCCUGACGCAGCAACGCCGCGUGGAGGAUGAAGGCCUUCGGGUCGUAAACUCCUGUCGGGGGGGAAGAAAGUCCCGAAAGGGACCUGACUGUACCCCUUGAGGAAGCCACGGCUAACUCCGUGCCAGCAGCCGCGGUAAUACGGAGGUGGCAAGCGUUGUUCGGAAUUACUGGGCGUAAAGGGCGCGUAGGCGGCUUUGCAAGUCAGAUGUGAAAGCCCCGGGCUUAACUUGGGAACUGCAUCUGAAACUGCUUUGCUUGAGUCCUGGAGGGGGUAGUGGAAUUCCCAGUGUAGCGGUGAAAUGCGUAGAUAUUGGGAGGAACACCGGUGGCGAAGGCGGCUACCUGGACAGUGACUGACGCUGAGGCGCGAAAGCUAGGGGAGCAAACGGGAUUAGAAACCCUAGUAGUCC